GUACCCUUUUCUAAGGAAUAGCCACUGGAAACGGUGAGUAAUACCUUAUACGCCCUUCGGGGGAAAGAUUUAUCGGAGAAGGAUCGGCCCGCGUUAGAUUAGAUAGUUGGUGGGGUAACGGCCUACCAAGUCUACGAUCUAUAGCUGGUUUUAGAGGAUGAUCAGCAACACUGGGACUGAGACACGGCCCAGACUCCUACGGGAGGCAGCAGUGGGGAAUCUUGGACAAUGGGCGCAAGCCUGAUCCAGCCAUGCCGCGUGAGUGAUGAAGGCCUUAGGGUCGUAAAGCUCUUUCGCUGGGGAUGAUAAUGACAGUACCCAGUAAAGAAACCCCGGCUAACUCCGUGCCAGCAGCCGCGGUAAUACGGAGGGGGUUAGCGUUGUUCGGAAUCACUGGGCGUAAAGCGCGCGUAGGCGGAUUGGAAAGUUGGGGGUGAAAUCCCGGGGCUCAACCUCGGAACUGCCUCCAAAACUAUCAGUCUAGAGUUCGAGAGAGGUGAGUGGAAUUCCGAGUGUAGAGGUGAAAUUCGUAGAUAUUCGGAGGAACACC
rnacentral:rRNA from 1 species